rnacentral:rRNA from 1 species
AGCGAACGCUGGCGGCAGGCUUAACACAUGCAAGUCGAGCGGGCAUCCUUGUGGUGUCCGCGGCAGACGGGUGAGUAACGCGUGGGAACGUGCCCUUCGGUUCGGAAUAACUCAGGGAAACUUUAGCUAAUACCGGAUACGUGCGAGAGCAGAAAGGUUUAUCUGCCGAAGGAUCGGCCCGCGUCUGAUUAGCUAGUUGGUGAGGUUAUGGCUCACCAAGGCGACGAUCAGUAGCUGGUCUGAGAGGAUGAUCAGCCACACUGGGACUGAGACACGGCCCAGAAUCCUACGGGAGGCAGCAGUGGGGAAUAUUGGACAAUGGGGGCAACCCUGAUCCAGCCAUGCCGCGUGAGUGAUGACGGCCUUAGGGUUGUAAAGCUCUUUUCUCCGGGACGAUAAUGACGGUACCGGAGGAAUAAGCCCCGGCUAACUUCGUG